GACGAACGCUGGCGGCGUGCUUAACACAUGCAAGUCGAACGGAAAGGCCCUGCUUUUGUGGGGUGCUCGAGUGGCGAACGGGUGAGUAACACGUGAGUAACCUGCCCUUGACUUUGGGAUAACUUCAGGAAACUGGGGCUAAUACCGGAUAGGAUCUCCUGCUGCACGGUGGGGGUUGGAAAGUUUCGGCGGUUGGGGCUGGACUCGCGGCUUAUCAGCUUGUUGGUGUGGUAGUGGCUUACCAAGGCUUUGACGGGUAGCCGGCCUGAGAGGGUGACCGGCCACAUUGGGACUGAGAUACGGACCAGACUCCUACGGGAGGCAGCAGGGGGGAAUAUUGCGCAAUGGGCGGAAGCCUGAUGCAGCAACGCCGCGUGCGGGAUGACGGCCUUCGGGUUGUAAACCGCUUUCGCCUGAGACGAAGCGUGAGUGACGGUAAUGGGUAAAGAAGCACCGGCUAACUACGUG
rnacentral:rRNA from 1 species